GGCGUUUUACCGGGGUGCAAGUCGAGUCCCGAAUCCAAAUCCGCCAUUGCACAGCCGGACCAGUGCCACUCGAACCCCACGUACCCUCUCUAUCCCAACCCUAGCGCGGCGGCGGCGUCGAUGGCGUCGAUCCCGUCUAACGACGUCUCCGAGAACGGCCACGGCAACGGAAACGGCCCAUCCCCGCCGCGCGCCAAGCGCCCCCGCGCAGCGUUGAUCUCGGCCGCCCAGAUCCGCGACGAGUUCGCGCACCACGACCCCGCAGUUGCCCGCGUCAACAACGGCAGCUUCGGCUGCUGCCCGGCCUCCGUGCUCGAAGCGCAGGCGCGCUGGCAGCGCCUCUUCCUCGCUCAGCCCGACGCCUUCUACUUCGACGGCCUUCAGCCGGGGCUCCGCCGCUCCCGCGCAGCCGUCGCGGCCCUUGUCAACGCUGGGGACGUCUCCGAGAUUUCCCUCGUCGACAACGCUACCACCGCUGCUGCAAUCGUGCUGCAGCAUGCCGCCUGGAGCUUUGCCGAGGGGCACUUCGCUCGUGGCGACGCUGUGCUCAUGCUCCAUUACGCCUACGGAGCAGUCAAGAAAUCUAUCCAGGCCUACGUUGCCCGCGCGGGCGCCACUGUCGUCGAGGUACCCCUCCCGUUCCCCGUCACCUCCCCUGACGCCAUUAUCACGGAGUUCCAUGCUGCGCUCGCUGUUGCCAAGGCCGGUGGUCGUAAGGUCCGGCUUGCUGUCAUUGAUCACAUCACCUCCAUGCCCAGUGUUCUCAUUCCAGUCAAGGAGCUAGUUGCCAUUUGUCGCCAAGAGGGCGUCGACAAAGUUUUUGUUGAUGCUGCACACUCUGUUGGGCAAGUCCCCGUCGAUGUGCGAGACAUUGGGGCGGAUUUCUACACUAGCAACCUCCACAAGUGGUUCUUUUGCCCCCCGGCCGUCGCUUUCUUACACACCCGCAAGGGUGGCCCGAUAACCUCUCAGCUCCACCACCCUGUUGUGUCACAUGAAUAUGGCAAUGGGCUACCUAUGGAGAGUGGAUGGAUUGGGACACGGGAUUACAGUGCCCAGAUCGUCGUUCCUGAAGCUAUUCACUUUGUGAACCGAUUUGAAGGUGGGAUUGAGGGGAUACGCAGCCGGAACCAUGAGAAGGUGAUUGAGAUGGGGAGGAUGCUUGCCGAAGCAUGGGGGACAUUUCUUGGAUCACCACCAGUAAUGUGUGGAAGCAUGGCUAUGGUAGGGAUGCCUUGUUGUCUUUGCAUUGAGAGUGACGAUGAUGCACUGAGAGUGCGGACCAUGUUGAGGAAGGAUUUCAAAGUUGAGGUGCCUAUAUACUACAAUAGCAGACAGGUUAAAGUGCAAGAGAUGGCAAAGGAUAAUAAUAGUGAUCCAGUGACAGGGUAUGUAAGAAUCUCACACCAGGUUUACAAUGUCAAGGAGGAGUAUGAGAGGCUGAGAGAUGCUGUCAAUAAGCUUGUUGCUGAGGGGUUCACCAGUGCCAAAUUGAGGCCAGCUGAGAAGAAGCACUGUGAUCUAGUUCUUCCAUAGCCACCCAUGGCUCAGAAGAUUGCCAGAGUUGUUGAGGAUCUGAAAAUUAUAUGUGAUGCUGGAUAACCUUAUUGCUUGUAGUGAUAUUGUUCCAUUAAAAUAACAACAAGAUAAUAUAUUCCACUGAAGUUUGGACCGUGGCAUCUACCAUUUUUUACGGUGCUUGUACUAGCCAAAGACGCACCGUAAAAAUGCAAGAAACUCUGGCUUGAUGACGUGGCAUCUAGCCAGCACUCCAUCCGAAGAUGCUGUGGCGGAUUAAUUAGUUGUGGAUCUGUGCCAGAAGCCUGUGCUGCACUGAGAUCUAGUUCUUCGGUAGCCUGCUCAAUGGCAUCGCCAGUUGAUGUAGUAUACUUUCACAUACUGACAAAUGUUGUAUUUGAGCUUGCAAUAACGUGCACUGGAAUGUAUGUCUUCUCCCUUCACUUGCAUUUUCGAGCUGUAAUGUAAGAAUAAUGAUCUGAAUGCAAGGAACUUGCAUGCUUUCUAGAUUGAUUGCUGAUUACGGACAA